UCUCCGUUGGUGAACCAGCGGAGGGAUCAUUACAGGAUCGAAAGACUCCUAUAACCCCUGUGAACUUACUACAAAUACGUUGCUUCGGCGGGUGCCCCGGGUCUCCCGGGGCGUUCAGCCCGCCGGCAGCCUUCAAAUUCUGUUUCUUUGCGUUGGCAUCUCGAGUAUACAAAAAUAAGUUAAAACCUUCAACAACGGAUCUCUUGGUUCUG
rnacentral:misc_RNA from 1 species